UGCAGUAUUUUAUACCGCGUGGGUCACUAUAAAACAUUUUUUCAAGCUGCUACAAGUUUCCCGAGACUGGAGAAAAUGGUUGGCAUGGCAGAACAUUACAAUAGCUUUAUAUGCAGAUAGAGUGCUCCAAUAUAUUCGCAAUUGUGAAAUCAGCACUAAUGAUGCAAAUAUUUUGCC